UACGUAGGGGGCAAGCGUUGUCCGGAAUCAUUGGGCGUAAAGCGCGUGUAGGCGGCUUGGUAAGUCCGCUCUGAAAGCCCGGGGCUCAACCCCGGGAGGCGGGUGGAUAACUGUCAAGCUCGAGUCCGGAAGAGGCGAGUGGAAUUCCUGGUGUAGCGGUGAAAUGCGCAGAUAUCAGGAGGAACACCAAUGGCGAAGGCAGCUCGCUGGGACGUGACUGACGCUGAGACGCGAAAGCUGGGGAGCAAACAGG
rnacentral:rRNA from 1 species